GACGAACGCUGGCGGCGUGCUUAACACAUGCAAGUCGAACGGAAAGGCCCUGCUUUUGUGGGGUGCUCGAGUGGCGAACGGGUGAGUAACACGUGAGUAACCUGCCCUUGACUUUGGGAUAACUUCAGGAAACUGGGGCUAAUACCGGAUAGGAGCUCCUGCUGCAUGGUGGGGGUUGGAAAGUUUCGGCGGUUGGGGAUGGACUCGCGGCUUAUCAGCUUGUUGGUGGGGUAGUGGCUUACCAAGGCUUUGACGGGUAGCCGGCCUGAGAGGGUGACCGGGGACAAUGGGAGUGAGAGACAGCGCAGGCUGCUGCGGGGGGCAGCAGUGGGGAAUAGUGGACAUGGGGCGGAAGGCUGAUGCCGGAACGCGGCGGGAGGGAGGACGGCCUUCGGGGGGUAAAACGCGGAGGCAUGUGACGAAGCGUGAGUGAGGGGGAGGGGUAAAGCAGCAGAGACGAACUACAUG
rnacentral:rRNA from 1 species